ensembl:snoRNA Snora23 small nucleolar RNA SNORA23
UGAAUCCUGUGUGCAUAGUUUUCAUCUAUGUCUGGUAGCAGUAUCUGUCUGUGUUUUGCAUUCAGAUCUUGCUAUCCACACAAAAGAAUGCAGCCAAAGAAUAACUUGGGAUCAUAGUACUGGCCUAGUGUUGUGUUUUUUUAACACAUCUCCCACUGGCCAGCCUCCAAAUUCCCAGACAGAA